rnacentral:rRNA from 1 species
AUUGAACGCUGGCGGCAUGCCCUACACAUGCAAGUCGAACGGCAGCGCGGACUUCGGUCUGGCGGCGAGUGGCGAACGGGUGAGUAAUACAUCGGAACGUACCCUGUUGUGGGGGAUAACUAGUCGAAAGAUUAGCUAAUACCGCAUACGACCUGAGGGUGAAAGUGGGGGACCGCAAGGCCUCACGCAGCAGGAGCGGCCGAUGUCUGAUUAGCUAGUUGGUGGGUUAAAGGCCCACCAAGGCGACGAUCAGUAGCUGGUCUGAGAGGACGAUCAGCCACACUGGGACUGAGACAAGGCCCAGACUCCUACGGGAGGCAGCAGUGCGGAAUCUUGGACAAUGGGGGCAACCCUGAUCCAGCAAUACCGCGUGUGUGAAGAAGGCCUUCGGGUUGUAAAGCACUUUUGUCCGGAAAGAAAUCUCGCUGGUUAAUACCUGGCGUGGAUGACGGUACCGGAAGAAUAAGCACCGGCUAACUACGUG